rnacentral:misc_RNA from 1 species
CUAAAUGUUUUUAGUAAAUUAUGUUUCUUGGUUUGGCAUGAAAAAUAUGAUUUACAUAUUAGAUUUAUGUACGAAAUAAAUGAUAUAUACAUGUAUCCUUACUUAUUUUAAAAAUAGUGGAUGUGAAUAUUCAAAACUGUUUAUGUGGAUUCUUACAAAUAUUGGUAAAUAAACUGGAUUCAAUUGCAAAUACUUUAUGACUUUAUUGAUUGUCCAACUGAUUAAGGGCACAAUAACCAAGCACAUGUACCAUGGGGGGGGGGGGGGGGGGGGGGCUGGCGCUGAACCUUUUGGCUUAGGAAAGAUUUUUCUUAAAUUUACAAAUAAAAAUCAACGUACCGAAG